rnacentral:lncRNA from 1 species
AAAGUUUUAUCUCCAUUCCAAUUCUCUACAUUUCCUAAACUCUUUCCUUCUCAUUCUAAAUAGUACUCUCCUUCUCCAACAAUCAUGUGGGGCACUAUGAUCAUAAAUCAAGAUUUGAGGGGAUUUGCUCUUGCUGUUCUAAUGCAUGUGUUCUCUGAUGAAGCUACGGCUCUUCAUUAUCUCGUACCAGUUCUUGCAGACGC